rnacentral:rRNA from 1 species
CCUACGGGAGGCAGCAGUGGGGAAUAUUGCACAAUGGGGGGAACCCUGAUGCAGCGACGCCGCGUGAGUGAAGAAGUAUUUCGGGAUGUAAAGCUCUAUCAGCAGGGAAGAAAAGGACGGUACCUGACUAAGAAGCCCCGGCUAACGACGUGCCAGCAGCCGCGGUAAUACGUAGGGGGCAAGCGUUAUCCGGAUUUACUGGGUGUAAAGGGAGCGUAGACGGUUAUGCAAGUCUGAAGUGACAGCCCCAGGCUCAACCCUGGGACUGCUUUGGAAACUGUCAAACUGGAGUGCAGGAGCGGUAAGCGGAAUUCCUAGUGUAGCGGUGAAAUGCGUAGAUAUUAGGAGGAACCCCAGUUGCGAAGGCGGCUUACUGGACUGUAACUGACGUUGAGGCUCGAAUGCGUGGGGAGCAAACAGGAUUAGAUACCCUAGUAGUC